GAUGAACGCUGACAGAAUACUUAACACAUGCAAGUCUUUGGCGAAGCUGUGCUUGCACAGCCUAGCCAAGGCGGACGGGUGAGUAACGCGUAAGGAACUUGCCCUGCAGUCAGGGAUAACAGACGGAAACGACUGAUAAGACCUGGUAAAGUCAGGCGGACUCAUGUCCAGCCUGAUGAAAAGAGAUGCUGCAGGAGAGCCUUGCGUCCUAUUAGCUUGUUGGUGGGGUAACGGCCCACCAAGGCGAUGAUAGGUAGCCGGCCUGAGAGGGUGGACGGCCACAAGGGGACUGAGAUACGGCCCUUACUCCUACGGGAGGCAGCAGUGGGGAAUAUUGGACAAUGGGGGCAACCCUGAUCCAGCAAUUCUGUGUGCACGAUGAAGGUUUUCGGAUUGUAAAGUGCUUUCAGCAGGGAAGAAAAAAAUGACGGUACCUGCAGAAGAAGCGACGGCUAAAUACGUG
rnacentral:rRNA from 1 species